rnacentral:misc_RNA from 1 species
AUGAGGCCAAAGCUCCAAGGGCUAUGUGAGGGUACUUAAGUCGAAACCAGGAAGCCAACAUUCCACCGUAGGAUCCUCCGAUGACAAUAACCGGAGAAUUUUCAGCAUGUAAGAUUUUCUUGACGUGAAUGAUAAUUUCUGCAUAGUCUGCAAUAGCUUGUGCAGAGUUGAAAUACCCACGAGUGCUUCCAUUUUUCAAGGCUUCUUCCCUUGAUCCAAAUGGGAUUGAUUUCCCAUAGUAUCUGUGCUCUAUAUAUAACAGAAGAGCAUUAAAUCGCAAAGCAUUGUCAGAGAGAAACCCAAUAACAGCAAGAUCACCAUCCAGUGGUGCUUCUGCACCAAAAUACACUAAAAUAGGCGCAGUAGAAUUAGCACCACCCCAGUAUUUGGAAUUGAUAACAUAUCUUUGUUCAAAGGUUUUGUAGCUUUCAGGUUUAUAGUUGAAGUGAUCAAGAGUUUGGUUGUAAAAGAAUGUCUCGAAAUCAUCCGAAAUUGAUUCAGACAAAAUCUCAGCUGGGUCUUCAAGAAUUCUUGGUCCUAUUGGACUAAGCCUUGGAAUAUCAAGCAGUGCUGUUGCAGAGGUUAAGAGAAUGACAAAGAACAGAAACCAUCGAAAUAGAAGAAUAGAAGACAUGUAGAAAUGUGCCCAAUAGAAUAUUUUUUUUUCCCAGGAUUGUGAAUUAGAGCUUGUAUCUAGGACUCGCUUAUAUAGCUAGAAUGUGAA